rnacentral:lncRNA from 1 species
UUCAUCAGGUUUCUGAUGUUUCUGUUUAGUUUUUUUUUCUAAUUUCGUUUUAAGUUUAUCCGAAUCAUCCUAGCUUCUCUAAUCGUAAGGUUUCAGUCGAAUCAAAAAUUAUAGAUCGAUUUGUUUCAUCCUCCCCUCUUAGGUAGGGUUUAAUCAUCUUCAAGCUUACUUAUAUUUUAAAAGAUGAUUUGGUUUGUUUGUAAGGAUUUGAGACUUCCGUCUGGUGUUAAUUUGUUUGAUUCGAUUGAUUCGGGGAUUGAAGUUUCUGAAGCGUUGUUUUGGUUCCGUCUAUGCUGAAUCGUAAUCUAGUCGUAUCCGGCUUCUCUUCCCGUGCUUCUUGUCUCCGAUAUGUUUCCGGUGGAACGCCGGUUUGUUCAUCCGGCAAAGACUUACCUUUGGGCGAAGUUAGGUGACGUCUCCGCUCCAAAACAGGUGUUCUUCCUGUGUUUGGAAUUCUACAUGUGUGAGCUGUUAUGACUUGUCACAAUCUUCCAUCUGCGUACUUUUGUUAUUGGGCUUUGGGCCCCUAUGUAAUUUUAUGUUUGCCUUUUUAGGCCUGUUACUGUAUUUUGUCCAUGUUUAAUAUAAUACCAG